GUGCCGGUGGGUUGGAGGGGCGAUUGCUCACCUUGGCUGCGGGCUGGCACUGGCCGGGAACGGAUCCAAGCCGAAAAUGCCCCUGUUGCCUCCUUGGUUCGGCUUUACAGCAGUUUCUUCCUGGUGCAGCUCGCGGCACACCCGGGCAGACGCGGGUGACAGCUCAGAGCAGGGGCACAAAGGAGCAUUCCACAGCAUGGAAUCACAGGAUCAAUUAGGGACGGUGACUCCACGACCUCCCUGGGCAGCCUAUUCUAGCGUGGAAUGGACUGAAUGAGGAAGAUCAUUUUGCUGAGCCGUGGCCCUGGGCUGCCCCAGCUGAGUGUGCCCCGAUAUUUGGUGUGCACAGGGAGGGCUGAGGGCUUCCAGCCCUGAAUGCCAGCUGAGCCCAUCCUGUGUGUACCACCGAGCGAGUGGAUUAGUGUCACCAAGGAAGCCGCUUCAAAUAAAACAGCAGCAGGUGCCCCUCCUGAUCUUAG